UAAUUUCGAAUUAGGUAAAAAUACCUACUAAACUUAAAUAUAUUAAUAAGUAGAGGAAAAAAAACUAAUAGGGAUUGCCCUAAUAAUAGCGAAUAAAGUAGUAAUAAUUCAAAUUUAAAAUUUAGCUUCGGCCCGAAUUAUAUUUAUAAAGGAAGUUUUU
rnacentral:ncRNA from 1 species